AAGAUGCGCGCUGCCUGAGGUGAUCGCCGGUCUGGCCGGUGAUUGAAACGGGAAUCCGGUGCGCGGUUCGUGUGCAAACACGCAUGGCUAUUCCGGAGCUGCCCCCGCAACGGUGGGCGGGCCAUGGUCUUCAUCGGCCAUCGGAUCGACACACAGCCACUGUGCGCCACGCAUGGGAAGGCAUCGAUUCGGAAGACGCAAGUCUUCGUCCGCGAGCCCGGAGACCGGCCACGGGUAUGACCUGACA
rnacentral:ncRNA from 2 species